GACGAACGCUGGCGGCGUGCUUAACACAUGCCAGUCGAACGGAAAGGCCCUGCUUUUGUGGGGUGCUCGAGUGGCGAACGGGUGAGUACCACGUGAGUAACCUGCCCUUGACUUUGGGAUAACUUCAGGAAACUGGGGCUAAUACCGGAUAGGAGCUCCUGCUGCAUGGUGGGGGUUGGAAAGUUUCGGCGGUUGGGGAUGGACUCGCGGCUUAUCAGCUUGUUGGUGGGGUAGUGGCUUACCAAGGCUUUGACGGGUAGCCGGCCUGAGAGGGUGACCGGCCACAUUGGGACUGAGAUACGGCCCAGACUCCUACGGGAGGCAGCAGUGGGGAAUAUUGCACAAUGGGCGGAAGCCUGAUGCAGCAACGCCGCGUGCGGGAUGACGGCCUUCGGGUUGUAAACCGCUUUCGCCUGUGACGAAGCGUGAGUGACGGUAAUGGGUAAAGAAGCACCGGCUAACUACGUG
rnacentral:rRNA from 1 species